rnacentral:rRNA from 1 species
AGAGUUUGAUCCUGGCUCAGAACGAACGCUGGCGGCAGGCUUAACACAUGCAAGUCGAACGCCCCGCAAGGGGAGUGGCAGACGGGUGAGUAACGCGUGGGAAUCUACCCAGAUCUUCGGAACAACUGAGGGAAACUUCAGCCAAUACCGGAUACGCCCUACGGGGGAAAGAUUUAUCGGUUCUGGAUGAGCCCGCGUUGGAUUAGCUAGUUGGUGAGGUAACGGCUCACCAAGGCGACGAUCCAUAGCUGGUCUGAGAGGAUGAUCAGCCACACUGGGACUGAGACACGGCCCAGACUCCUACGGGAGGCAGCAGUGGGGAAUAUUGGACAAUGGGCGAAAGCCUGAUCCAGCCAUGCCGCGUGAGUGAUGAAGGCCUUAGGGUUGUAAAGCUCUUUUAGUGGGGGAAGAUAAAUGACGGACCCACAGAA